rnacentral:rRNA from 1 species
UACGAAGGGGGCUAGCGUUGCUCGGAAUUACUGGGCGUAAAGCGCACGUAGGCGGCUUUCUAAGUCGGGGGUGAAAUCCUGGAGCUCAACUCCAGAACUGCCUUCGAUACUGCCGUGACUAGAGUCCGGUAGGGGACCACGGAAUUCCUGGUGUAGCGGUGAAAUGCGCAGAUAUCAGGAGGAACACCAGUGGCGAAGGCGGUGGUCUGGGCCGGUACUGACGCUGUAGAGCGAAAGCGUGGGAGCGAACGG